UUGUUUGUAUAAAAUGUCGCUAAAUAUAGCAAGAAAGUGAGUUGGCAACAUUGGGGUGACUAUUAUUAACUGCAAAUAUGUAUACGUGACCUGGUGGGCUGGUCUGACAAUCAGGCCUCUCACAGAAGAGCAGAGGACAGAGGCUGAUUUAAGAUCGAGGGAUAAGAUCAGCUUCAGAUGCAAGUAUCGGCCGAUCACCAAUCACCAAAAUUAAUUACAUUCGGAGCAGCUUUAUCAGUGCACCCUUAUUAAACAGGGUUAAGUUGUCAAAAUGGAUUUCAAACUUUAGAAAAAAAAAAUGUUUAAAUCGCAGGUCCAUGCCGACUCUGGAGGAGCUGCAGAGACACACGGCUCUGGUGGGAGGGUUUGACAGGACAAAUGGCAACUAUGCCCUCUCAAAAUCUGACCUUAAAGACAUGCAGCUUCAACUGCAGAAAAAUACAACAAAAUGUAUUUUUUAAGCCAAAAAAAAAAAAUUUCCUAGGCGCUGAAAAAUGUAUCAUCUCAAGCUGGAACUUUCUUUAAAUCAACCAGCAGGUUGAAAGAUUUUCAUGAUCAUGUUAAAUGUUGACCAGGACAUCCAGCUCUAGUCCAGCCAAAGUCUGCGUCAGUUAUCAGCACUACCGUAUUUUGCAGCACACAUACUGGCUGAUUACCAGACAACGCGAUGCAACAUGCAGAGAGAACAACGCGUUUUCCUUUUGCACAGCUAACAUCAGGUGUACAGGCAUUAUGGGUGUAUUCAAGGCCUUAUCACCAAGUCAGUCAUCUUAGAUUGACUAUUGUAUAACAGUUUCUGUCAUUCUAAUUAAAGGUUGAUUUAAAAAAAAAAUAAAAUCCUGUGAAAGGGAGAUGAAAUAAACUUCACAUACUUUUCAAAAAGGGGUAAACCGCUAAAAACAAUAAAAGCCUAGAAAAGUUUUUCAGCACGUUCGAAUGGCGCCGUUUGUGUGAUGCACACAAACAGAAGAGGAACUGUGUCUAACAAUAAGAGAGAACUACAAAAAGUUCCUAAAGUCUAAAAGCUACUAUUGACUGUUAACUUAGAAAACAGAUCCCAUUUCUACAGCUGGAACCCCAAUGUGAAGACGUAUAGUCUGAAAAUAAAGACUGUUCUGUCUGCCUCCCUGGAGAGCCACAGGGUGUGGCUACACACACGUUACAUACGCCAGUUAUAGACUCGGGGCUCGGUUUAAUUUUACAACCUAAUCAGUGUGGAGCUGGAAACUGGGACACUGACCUAAUCAGCAUGACGCUCUGAAGCAACUCCAUGAGGUUUAACUGUGAAAGUUGCAGCUUCAAACGGCUAAAACAGUAUUUAUGAACAGUUUAGACUGUCAGGAAACGCUGAAUAAGAUCUUUCAUGCAGUGUGUAAAUAAUUCAAAUAGCUGCCAGAUCAUUGGGUAACAGGAUCCUGGUCUUGUAAACCAAGUGUUUCAUUUUGGAAGUUUUGUUCAUACUAAUCCACUAAAAUAUUUGUAAAACACUGCUUUUAUUUGAUUAAAAAAAAUUACAAUUUAUGAUCCUACCAACAGUUUAUUCGACAAAUGAACUGAUGAGUAACCAAACAAAAAGUUAAAGACAGAAGAAUAUAAUAUACAUGAAUGAAAUAAAAAGAGAACAGUACAGGAUAAAAGAUAAAUAAAUAAACUUCGAUUUGAUCAAAUAUUGGGAGCUGAGACAGACGCAUAAUUCAGCCCUAAAUAAUUCAUGUAGGUCUGUUCCCACCAGGCCUAUUUUUGAUGUAAUAAUGUGUUUAAAUCAAUAUUUACAUUGGACAAUUUUUUUUGUGAAUUUGAACUUAUCGUUGCUUGAACAGGUAAUUUACAUGUUUAAAGUACUUUGGAGUAUUUGGGUGAUCCAAGGUUUUGUUGCAGUUUCGUUCAUGAGCAGCUGAAGAGACGACAGCAGCUACAGAGAUGACGCUGGAGGCCAGAUCGUUUUGAACCUGCACAGUAAACUGUGAGGGAGACUCCUGUCUGUGUUUAUGCAAAAAGUAGUGUUAAUCAUUCAAGUUUGAAUGAAUAACACCCUACAGCAAUCAGCUUUCAAGUACUUAACUGUAAAGA